rnacentral:misc_RNA from 1 species
AACGCACGAGACCUGCGGACCUGCGGAGGGAUCAUUACCGAGUUAUCCAACUCCCAACCCCUGUGAAUUAUACCUUUAAUUGUUGCUUCGGCGGGACUUCGCGCCCGCCGGGGACCCAUACCUUCUGAAUUUUUUAAUAAGUAUCUUCUGAGUGGUUAAAAAAAUGAAUCAAAACUUUUAACAAUGGAUCUCU